GGGGGCUUCGCCUCAAAGACCAGAAUGGACAGCUGGUGUAGCAAUUGACGGUAAUACUGAUCAGAGCUAUCUUUCAAACUCAUGUGCCAUUACGAAUGUGGAUGGAAAUCGUAACACGUCUAUAUGGUGGAAGGUUUGGCUGCAAAAAAAAUUCAACAUUGCCUACCUGGAGAUUUACUUCAGGUCAGAUACAUACAAGAGAUCAACAGGAUUUUCCAUUUACACAUACGUACCGCAAAUUUUUCAUCCUUUGUCUGAUCCCAAACAUCUGGUGUACCACCACGAUCCCAAGUCUGGAUGUCCAUCGUCUAUAAUGAACAUCACCAUAAACAAUCUUACUCAAGGGAUUACCUACAUCAAUACACGACCACAAGGAUAUACAUCAAACUGCAUUGGUGAUAAUGAAAUGUACACGGGGAUAGAAAUAUGUGAAAUAAGAGUCAUGGGCUGUGAUGCAACCAGAUAUUCAGCAAACUGCUCCCAAAUCUGUCCAACUAAAUGUAGUGGAGGUUGUGACGCCUUCAAUGGAUCCUGUAUACAUGGGUGCUCUAAUCCUAGCGCUCUCACUAUCGACUGCAUCGUGUGUCGGGAUGGAGAAUAUAUAUCAAACAAAGUAUGUGUAAACUGCCCUGGCCACUGUAAAGACAGAUCACCGUGUAAUAAGUUGACGGGACGGUGUGAUAACGGGUGUGCGAACAAGUGGACCGGAACAUUUUGUAACAUAUGCUCCGCUAACUACUAUGGCAGUGAUUGUAACACUCCGUGUGGGCAUUGUAAAGGUAACGAUGUUUGUAACAACAUCACAGGUCACUGUCCCAAUAGCUGUCAGUCUUAUUGGCAAGGGAACAGGUGUGAUGAAUGUGUAGAUGGAUUUUACAACGCUACAUGUACUGGGCAGUGCGGUCACUGUCUCAAUGCACGGUCGUGUGAUAAACUGAACGGCUAUUGUCCAAGUGGAUGUACUCCAAACUUUCAAGCUCCUUUAUGUCAAGAAUGUUCUGGUGGAUUUUACAAUCGCACAUGUACUGGAGUGUGCGGACAUUGUGUUAAUGGGGAAUUAUGUCUACAAAAUAAUGGAUACUGCGUUAAUGGAUGCAGCAACCACUUUCUUUUUCCUUUGUGCCAAGUAUGUGAAGACGGGUUUUACGGAAAUAUGUGUAACAUAAGUUGUGGUCGCUGUAAAAAUGGACAGGCAUGCGAUAAGCACAACGGGUCGUGUUAUGAUGGCUGUGUUGCUAACUUUCAGCAACCCAAAUGUGAAGUGUGUGAAAAUGGUUUCUACAACGCAAACUGUACCGGAAGAUGUGGUCAUUGCCAGAAUGGACAAGCGUGUGAUAGGGAAAGUGGAAAUUGUUUCAACGGUUGCAGUUCAAACUUCCAAAAACCUUUGUGUCAAGAAUGCAAAGAUGGAUUUUACAACAGUAAUUGUAGCUCCGAAUGUGGAAAAUGUUUAAACGGAGACAUUUGCAAUAAAACGACUGGACACUGUGAUAAAGGAUGCCAGCCUUACUUUGAGGUUCCUUUGUGUCAAGUAUGUAAGGAAGGAUAUUAUAAUAGCACAUGCACUGCUAAUUGUGGUCAUUGCAAGGACCAAACCUCGUGUGAUAAAACUAAUGGGACCUGCAAUUUAGGCUGCAAAACAAACUUUCGGCCACCUUUUUGUCAAGAUUGUAUUGACGGAUUUUAUAAAGAAGACUGUAGUUCAGAAUGCGGAAAAUGUGCUGACGGGAAGGCUUGUAACAAAAUUAAUGGAACUUGUGAAAAUGGUUGUAGUUUAACGUUUCUACCUCCUCUUUGCCAAGAAUGCAUCAGUGGUUAUUAUGGGGAAAACUGUAACAUAACGUGUUCACACUGCAACUCAAGCGCACCUAGCUGCGAUAGACACAAUGGUUAUUGUCUCUUUGGAUGUGAAGAUGGAAGGAAUACUACUUACUGUGAACCUUCACAAAUGAAACACAACAAAAAGGACUCCAGCACAGGUGCCGUAGUUGGAGGUGUAGUAUCUGCCCUUAUUGUGCUGGUGGCUGUGGGUGUUCCUGGUUUUAUCUACAUACGACGUAGAGGAGGAAAAGAUAAUCAGAAUAAAGAACAGUCGAAGCAACAUAUGGUUCAUUCGAAACUGUCAAGUAAAGCAAAGAAAUAUGCAGAUUUUAAAGACGAUUUACCAAACACAUCUACUGGAGAAUAUAUGAAUCAUGCAUUGACAGAAGACGACGGGGGGUAUUAUAAUACGGCAGAGGUCAACACAUUUAUUCGCGUGGAAGAUUUACAGCCUGUGAUAUCUGAGAAGAGCGCCGGAGAAAAUAAUAUGUUUCAAUCUGAGUACCGGAGACUCCCUAUAGGGAAUACUUCUAUAUGUAGAGAGGGAAAGAAGCAAGAAAACAUGGCGAAGAACAGAUUCAAAACAACGUUCCCAUAUGACCACUCAAGAGUUAUUCUGAAAGAAACUUGGAAAGAUGGAGAUAAUGAUUAUAUCAACGCUAACUUCAUUAAGGACUUUAACGGACAAAGAAUGUAUAUAGCUGCACAGGGUCCUAAAAACAAUACUCUGACUGACUUCUGGAGAAUGAUAUGGCAGGAAAACGUUAGGUUCAUCGUAAUGCUUACGAACAUUAUAGAAAACGGAAAGAACAAAUGUACUCAGUAUUGGCCUACUCAAGGUAAACCACUAGAUGUUGGUCCAUGUAAGAUGCAUCUACUGAAAGAAAAUGUGUAUGCUUUCCAUACAUAUAGGAAAUUUACAGUCCAAAACACGAAAUCUUCCGGAAAAAGAACAGUAACCCAAUUCCACUACACUGCUUGGCCUGAUCACGGAACACCAGAGGAAUUAGGAUUGGUUCAGUUUCAUAAGGCUGUCACUAAAAGCUAUCAACCAGGGGGACUUAUGUUAGUUCAUUGCAGCGCUGGUGUCGGAAGAACUGGAACUUUUAUAGGUCUGGACUCCUUGUUAAAACAAGGAAGAGAAACGGAGAGAAUCAAUGUGUUUGGGUUUGUAAAACAGAUGCGAGAGGACAGAAUGACCAUGGUGCAGACACCGGAACAAUACAUUUUUCUUCACAAAGCAUUGUUGUUCGGAUUCCAAGAGAACGAUACGGUUAUACGUGAGAGUGACAUACCGACCAGACUCCAGUCAUUGUUACAGGACUCGUCCCCGCUAAACCUGAGGGCUUUAUACAAAGAAUACAAGUUUCUGCAAACUGUGAAACCAGUGUUUGAAGACGAAGAUAAAGAGGACGGAAUGAAGCCAGAGAAUAAAGACAAAAACUCAAACAUGAAUGUCAUACCUGUUUCCAAGUAUCGUCCUUACUUAACGUCGUAUGUAAAAGGAAGAAACGACUACAUAAAUGCAGUUUGUGUCCCAUCUUUCUCGAGCCUUGGUGCGUUUGUUCUCACUCAAGCCCCACUUCCAGGAACGAAGGUUGAUUUAUGGACACUGUGUGUGGACCAUGAUGUGAAGGCAAUAGUUAUUUUAUCUGAAGACAACGAGGAUAUACAAUGGGUUCCGAAAAGAGGUUGUUCCUGCAUAUGUGCGCCUUAUACCUUAACUUCCGGUGACACAGGAAGUAGCAUCAGUGCAGUUACACAGGACACAUUACUUAUUCAAACUGACGAUACCAAACAGGAUGUUGAUGUGUUCCAUAUACCUUUUGAAAACGACAAUGCCAUGCUAAAGGGUGUGGAAUUGCUGCUGGAUAAAGGGAAGGAGAGCGACUUUACCUCAGUCGUCAUCAGCAAGGACGGAUCCGGUCCAGCUGGUAUAUUCUGCGCUUUACAUAACGCCCUCCAACAGUUACGUAUGGACGGAGAGGUGGACAUACUGACAACUGUCAGACUGAUCCAAACAAGACGGCCGGAAGUCAUCACUAAAAUGGAGGAAUACAGGAGAUGCUAUGAACUAUUAUUGUUAUCUGUAUCAGAAGAUGGAAUAUAUGCCAACAUGUGACAAAUACCGUGUUAUAUAUACCCAAGUGUGGAACAAUACAAAUUACAUGAUUAAUUAAAAAUAUAUAUUUUUAUAUGCAACAAAUAUAUCUGUCUGUAGUACAGUAAAACGCACUUAUAGCGAAAUUAGCUAAAACGAAUUGAUGUUUACAGUGAUGUAAUGUUUAUUAUCGUUACUUAUUGUGAAAGUAAUAAAACAAAUUGUAUUUAUAACGAAGCAGAAUCAGUCGUCCUUAGCAUUUUGAUUAAAGUGUGUUUUACUGUAUGACUAUUUGUAUUCAGUGCCCUAAUUGA
rnacentral:sRNA from 1 species